UACGGAGGGUGCGAGCGUUGUCCGGAAUCAUUGGGCGUAAAGGGCGCGUAGGUGGCCCGGUCAGUUCGUGGUGAAAGCGCGGGCUCAACCCUGCGUCGGCCAUGAAUACUGCCGCGGCUGGAGCACUGUAGAGGCAGGCGGAAUUCCGGGUGUAGCGGUGGAAUGCGUAGAGAUCCGGAAGAACACCGGUGGCGAAGGCGGCCUGCUGGGCAGUUGCUGGACACUGAGGCGCGACAGCGUGGGGAGCAA
rnacentral:rRNA from 1 species